GGAAGGAUCAUUAUCGAGUGUUGAACCCUUCUUUUUUGUAAAGGAGGGUUACCUCCCGUCCUUUGCUGAGGGCCGCCUUACCUUUUGAUGAGGGGGGUGCGCUUUUUCAGAAAAACCUUCUGCUUCGGCGUGGUUAUACCCCCGCCGGAACACCCUCAAAAUUCUUGUUUAAAAAAUUGUUCAGUCCGAGAAAAUUUUAAAAGCGAAUAAAACUUUCAACAACGGAUCUCUUGGUUCUGGCAUCGAUGAAGAACGCAGCGAAAUGCGAUAAGUAAUGUGAAUUGCAGAAUUCAGUGAAUCAUCGAAUCUUUGAACGCAUAUUGCGCCCCUUGGUAUUCCGGGGGGCACACCUGUUCGAGCGCCAUUUCAACCCUCAAGCAAAGCUUGGUGUUGGGUGAGGCCCUAAAAUAUUGUGGACCAGCCCGUAACUUGUAGGCGGUCAUUGUCCGCGCCCCCAGCGUAGCAGGCUCACGCACUCGCUUUGGGGACGAAUGGUGAUCUGCCCACUAAAAUACAAAAGGUUUGGCCUCGGAUCAGGUGGGGAUACCCGCUGAACUUAAGCAUAUCAAUAAGCGGAGGAAAAGAAACCAACAGGGAUUGCCUCAGUAACGGCGAGUGAAGCGGCAAUUGCUCAAAUUUGAAAUCUGACUUCCUUUGGAGGUUCGAAUUGUAAUUUGUAGAGGAAGCUUCGGUAAAGGUAUAGGUUUAAGUCCCCUGGAACGGGACGUCAUAGAGGGUGAGAACCCCGUCCGACUGAUUACCUGAACCAUGUGUUGCUCCUUCGACGAGUCGAGUUGUUUGGGAAUGCAGCUCAAAAUGGGUGGUAAAUUCCAUCUAAGGCUAAAUAUUGGCCAGAGACCGAUAGCGCACAAGUAGAGUGAUCGAAAGAUGAAAAGCACUUUGAAAAGAGAGUUAAAAAGCACGUGAAAUUGUUGAAAGGGAAGCGCUUGCGAUCAGAACUUUACUAUAGUUGUUCAACCGAUAAAUUUUAUCGGCUCAUUCUUCUAUAGUAGGGCCAACAUCGGUUUGGAUGGUUAGAUAAAAACCUUAGGAAUGUGGCCCUUUGGGGUGUUAUAGCCUUUGGUAUAAUGUGACCUAUCUGGACCGAGGGAAGCGAAAUUUUUUCCAGGAUGUUGGCAUAAUGGUUGCAAGCGGCCCGUCUUGAAACACGGACCAAGGAGUCUAACAUUCACGCGAGUGUUUGGGUGUAAAACCCCUAUGCGAAAUGAAAGUGAACGGAGGUGGGAACCUUUUUUAAGGUGCACCAUCGACCGAUCCUGAUGUUUUCGGAAGGAUUUGAGUAAGAGCGUGACUGUUAGGACCCGAAAGAUGGUGAACUAUGCGUGAAUAGAAUGAAGCCAGAGGAAACUCUGGUGGAAGUUCGCAGCGGUUCUGACGUGCAAAUCGAUCGUCAAAUUUGCGUAUGGGGGCGAAAGACUAAUCGAACCAUCUAGUAAGUUU
rnacentral:misc_RNA from 1 species